rnacentral:rRNA from 1 species
AGCGAACGCUGGCGGCAGGCUUAACACAUGCAAGUCGAACGGAUCCUUCGGGAUUAGUGGCGGACGGGUGAGUAACACGUGGGAACGUGCCUUUUGGUCGGAACAACACAGGGAAACUUGUGCUAAUACCGGAUGUGCCCUUCGGGGAAAGGAUUAUCGCCAUUAGAGCGGCCCGCGUCUGAUUAGCUAGUUGGUGAGGUAAAGG